rnacentral:RNase_P_RNA from 1 species
GGAGUGGAACAGGUGGCCGCUGGCUUGGUAGUCUUCAGGCUGGAGGAAAGUCCGGGCUCCACAGGGCGGAAUGCCGGAUAACGUCCGGCGGGGGCGACCCCAGGGAAAGUGCCACAGAAAGCAAACCGCCGGUCGGGAUGCAACACACCACCGGUAAGGGUGAAAGGGUGCGGUAAGAGCGCACCGCGCUUCCCGGUAACGGGGGCGGCAUGGUAAACCCCAUUCGGAGCAAGACCAAAUAGGGGGACGAUUAAGGAUGGCCCAUCCAGUCCCCGGGUAGGUUGCUAGAGGUGAUCGGUAACGGUCAUCCCAGAGGAAUGGCCACCGCCUGUCCCCCCCGGGAAGGGGGAUGGGAACAGAACCCGGCUUACCGUUCCACUCCGGUC